rnacentral:rRNA from 1 species
UACGUAGGGCGCAAGCGUUGUCCGGAAUUAUUGGGCGUAAAGCGCACGUAGGCGGCUUAGUAAGUUGGAUGUGAAAUCCCUCGGCUUAACCAAGGAAGUGCAUCCAAAACUACUGAGCUUGAGUACUAAAGAGGAUCGCGGAAUUCCCGGUGUAGAGGUGAAAUUCGUAGAUAUCGGGAGGAACACCAGUGGCGAAGGCGGCGAUCUGGGUAGAUACUGACGCUGAGGUGCGAAAGCGUGGGGAGCAAACAGG